rnacentral:sRNA from 1 species
UUUUAACCCUGACAGCAGCGGCAUUUCGUCUUUUGGGACGAGAUAGAGCGAAUGGCAGGUAUUGCG